UACGGAGGGUGCGAGCGUUGUUCGGAAUCACUGGGCGUAAAGCGCGUGUAGGCGGCCCACUAAGUCUGAUGUGAAAGCCCGGGGCUCACCCCCGGAAGUGCAUUGGAAACUGGUGGACUCGAGUCCCGGAGAGGAGAGUGGAAUUCCUGGUGUAGCGGUGAAAUGCGUAGAUAUCAGGAGGAACACCGGUGGCGAAGGCGGCUCGUCUGGACGGUGACUGACGGCUGAGACGGCGAAAGCGUGGGGAGCAAAC
rnacentral:rRNA from 1 species